GUGCAGCAGGCGCGAAAACUUUACAAUGCGGGAAACCGUGAUAAGGGGACACCGAGUGCCAGCAUCAUAUGCUGGCUGUCCGGAUGUGUAAAAUACAUCCGUUAGCAAGGGCCGGGCAAGACCGGUGCCAGCCGCCACGGUAACACCGGCGGCCCGAGUGGUGAUCGUGAUUAUUGGGUCUAAAGGGUCCGUAGCCGGUUUGGUCAGUCCUCCGGGAAAUCUGAUAGCUCAACUAUUAGGCUUUCGGGGGAUACUGCCAGACUUGGAACCGGGAGAGGUAAGAGGUACUACAGGGGUAGGAGUGAAAUCUUGUAAUCCCUGUGGGACCACCUGUGGCGAAGGCGUCUUACCAGAACGGGUUCGACGGUGAGGGACGAAAGCUGGGGGCACGAACCGGAUUAGAUACCCGGGUAGUCC
rnacentral:rRNA from 1 species